CAUGGUGCCUUUCUCUCUAGCAGACCAAAUUUGUGGCCAGGUUUAUCAUGUCUCAUUGCUCUUGUGUUUUUAUAAAGAGCCUGUAAGCCAAUGAGAGAGACUGCCUAGGAGAGGGAGGGUUGCUCCGAGGCCAUCUGUAGACCUUGUAAGAAAUUCCAGGACCUGGAAGAGAUGGGAUUUUGCCAUGUGGCCCAGGUGAUCCUCCAGUCUCAACCUCCUUCCCAAAGUGGUGAGAUUACACGCAUUAGCCACGGUGCCUGAACAGGUUAAACUGGUCCAACCAUAUUCCAUGGGUGAGGCAUUUAAUACCAUUUUAAAAUGAAUUAAUGGAAUGAUUGAUGGAUAUAAGAUGCGUGAGGCUGGAUUCUGAGAGAGCAGCAAUUUCAGGUUCUCGUUCUUGGAGGAAACGGCCCACCACCAAUCUCUUGGCCAAACACAGCACGUGAAUAGCCCUGCUGCGCACAGUCCUGGAGGGCUGACCCCUCUCAGCACACAGGGGCAGCUGCAGAUUCAGGCCCUACAGGCACUCAGUUUGCCCUGAAACACGUGAAAAACCUGCCUCUCCCUUUGAUAUCCUUUCACCCCCUCAGUCUUGGGUGCAGACUUGGCCUCAUGUCACUGCUGCUUUAGGAAAUUCUGGAAAUCUUAGUUUCCUGGUGGUUAAAAGGGGUAGAUGGUAUUACAAGAUCGCCAGGUCCCUGGCCUCCCCAAGUGUAGGAAUAUUGGCUUCCAAGUCCACCCGCCCCUCUGUGGCUCUUUCAGUGUUGCCUUAUCUUCCCCUCGCACACCUCUCCAGGCACCUACCUGGUACCUCCGGUUUUCCUCUGAUGCUCAGGAGCCCCUCCUUACCGGCCCUCUGUGGAGACCCACAUUCAAGACCAUCCAGAGAAUCAUCCAAGCACAUGAGAAAACAGAGAGUCUUGAGUUCAAAACCAUCAGCAUUGCAAACAAGAUGGCUUAAAAAAAUUGUUGGUUUUCCCAUUUGCUAUCCCCCUUAUGCAAUCACAUCUUUUUCUUUG